rnacentral:rRNA from 1 species
GACGAACGCUGGCGGCGUGCUUAACACAUGCAAGUCGAACGGUGAUGCUCCAGCUUGCUGGAGUGGAUCAGUGGCGAACGGGUGAGUAACACGUGAGCAACCUGCCCCAGACUCUGGAAUAAGCGCUGGAAACGGCGUCUAAUACUGGAUACGAAACUGGCCCGCAUGGGCAUGGUUUGGAAAGUUGUUCGGUUUGGGAUGGGCUCGCGGCUUAUCAGCUUGUUGGUGAGGUAAUGGCUCACCAAGGCGACGACGGGUAGCCGGCCUGAGAGGGCGACCGGCCACACUGGGACUGAGACACGGCCCAGACUCCUACGGGAGGCAGCAGUGGGGAAUAUUGCACAAUGGGCGAAAGCCUGAUGCAGCGACGCCGCGUGAGGGAUGACGGCCUUCGGGUUGUAAACCUCUUUCAGCAGGGAAGAAGCGAAAGUGACGGUACCUGCAGAAGAAGCACCGGCUAACUACGUG